rnacentral:rRNA from 1 species
GGAUGAGUGGCGAACGGGUGAGUAACACGUGAGUAACCUGCCCCCUUCUAUGGGAUAACGGUCGGAAACGGCUGCUAAGACCGGGUAUUCACUGUCCUUCGCAUGGGGGGUGGUGGAAAGGUUUUUUCUGGUGGGGGAUGGGCUCGCGGCCUAUCAGCUUGUUGGUGGGGUGAUGGCUUACCAAGGCUUUGACGGGUAACCGGCCUGAGAGGGUGACCGGUCACAUUGGGACUGAGAUACGGCCCAGACUCCUACGGGAGGCAGCAGUGGGGAAUAUUGCACAAUGGGCGAAAGCCUGAUGCAGCGACGCCGCGUGAGGGAUGACGGCCUUCGGGUUGUAAACCUCUUUCGCUCAUGGUCAAGCCGCAACAGUGGUUGUGGUGAGGGUAGUGGGUAAAGAAGCACCGGCUAACUACGUGCCAGCAGCCGCGGUAAUACGUAGGGUGCGAGCGUUGUCCGGAAUUAUUGGGCGUAAAGGGCUUGUAGGCGGUUUGUCGCGUCUGCCGUGAAAUCCUCUGGCUUAACUGGGGGCGUGCGGUGGGUACGG